UCCCAGACUCCUACGGGAGGCAGCAGUGGGGGAUAUUGCACAAUGGGGGGAACCCUGAUGCAGCGACGCCGCGUGAGGGAAGACGGUUUUCGGAUUGUAAACCUCUGUCUUUAGGGACGAAACAAAUGACGGUACCUAAAGAGGAAGCCACGGCUAACUACGUGCCAGCAGCCGCGGUAAUACGUAGGGAGCGAGCGUUGUCCGGAAUUACUGGGUGUAAAGGGAGCGUAGGCGGGCGAGAAAGUUGAAUGUUAAAUCUACCGGCUUAACUGGUAGCUGCGUUCAAAACUUCUUGUCUUGAGUGAAGUAGAGGCAGGCGGAAUUCCUAGUGUAGCGGUGAAAUGCGUAGAUAUUAGGAGGAACACCAGUGGCGAAGGCGGUCUGCUGGACAGCAACUGACGCUGAGGCGCGAAAGCGUGGGGAGCAAACAGGAUUAGAUACCCCGGUAAG
rnacentral:rRNA from 1 species